rnacentral:rRNA from 1 species
ACCUCGAAUCAGGUAGGGAUACCCGCUGAACUUAAGCAUA